rnacentral:rRNA from 1 species
CAGUCGCCGCGGGAAUACGAAGGGGGCUAGCGUUGUUCGGAAUUACUGGGCGUAAAGCGCACGUAGGCGGAUAUUUAAGUCAGGGGUGAAAUCCCGCAGCUCAACUGCGGAACUGCCUUUGAUACUGGGUAUCUUGAGUAUGGAAGAGGUUAGUGGAAUUGCGAGUGUAGAGGUGAAAUUCGUAGAUAUUCGCAGGAACACCAGUGGCGAAGGCGGCUAACUGGUCCAUAACUGACGCUGAGGUGCGAAAGCGUGGGGAGCAAAUGGGAUUAGAGACCCGCGUAGUCCCUGUCUCUUAUAA